UACGGGGGGAGCAAGCGUUGUUCGGAUUUACUGGGCGUAAAGGGCGCGACUGUGAGCGGCCUUCUAAGUCGGACGUGAAAGCCCCAGGCUUAACCUGGGAACUGCGUCCGAUACUGGAAGGCUUGGAUUCGGGAGAGGGAUGUGGAAUUCCAGGUGUAGCGGUGAAAUGCGUAGAUAUCUGGAGGAACACCGGUGGCGAAGGCGGCAUCCUGGACCGAGAUCGACGCUGAGGCGCGAAAGCUAGGGGAGCAAACGGGG
rnacentral:rRNA from 1 species